rnacentral:rRNA from 1 species
AUGUUAUUAACCGAUCAAAACUUUAAUACAACCUUUUUUGAUCCUGCAGGAGGGGGAGACCCAAUAUUAUACCAGCAUCUCUUUUGGUUCUUCGGUCAUCCAGAGGUGUAUAUUCUCAUUCUCCCUAGAUUUGGUAUUAUUAGUCAUAUCGUAUCGACCUUUUCAAGAAAACCGGUCUUCGGGUAUCUAGGCAUGGUUUAUGCCAUGAUAAGUACAAGUGUUCUUGGAUUUCUAGUUUGGGCUCAUCAUAUGUUUACUGUGGGCUUAGACGUUGAUACGCGUGCCUACUUCACUGCAGCUACCAUGCUCAUAGCUGUGCCCAGAGGAAUCAAAAUCUUUAGUUGGAUCGCUACCAUGUGGGGAGGUUCGAUACAAUACAAAAAACCCAUGUUAUUUGCUAUAGGGUUCAUCUUUUUGUUCACCAUAGGAGGGCUCACUGGAAUAGUUCUAGCAAACUCUCGGCUAGACAUUGCUCUACAUGAUACUUAUUAG